rnacentral:rRNA from 1 species
AUUGAACGCUGGCGGCAUGCCUUACACAUGCAAGUCGAGCGGCAGCGCGGGGGCAACCCUGGCGGCGAGCGGCGCACGGGUGAGUAAUACAUCGGAACGUGUCCUUUCGUGGGGGAUAACCAGUCGAAAGACUGGCUAAUACCGCAUGAGAUCUCACGAUGAAAGCGGGGGACCCGAGGGUAACUUCGGGCCUCGCGCGAUUGGAGCGGCCGAUGUCGGAUUAGCAGUUGGCGGGGUAAAGCCCACCAAGGCGACGAUCCGUAGCUGGUUUGAGAGAACGACCAGCCACACUGGGACUGAGACACGGCCCAGACUCCUACGGGAGGCAGCAGUGGGAAUAUUGGACAAUGGGCGCAAGCCUGAUCCAGCGAUGCCGCGUGUGUGAAGAAGGCCUGCGGGUUGUAAGCACUUUCAGUAGGGAAGAAAGCCGAGUGCUAAUAUCACUCGGUCUUGACGUUACUUAC